GCCGGACCAAUGCGUAGCCCGGUAUCUCAGUUGACUGUUAAUCAAUUGGUCGUAGGUUCGAUCCCUACCGCCGGAGCCA
rnacentral:tRNA from 1 species